rnacentral:lncRNA from 1 species
AUUUUAAGGAACUGGUUCACCAAAUAGUGGGGGCCAGCAGGUCCAAAAUACACAGGGCAGGGCAGCCGGCUGGAAAUGCCAGCGAGAGUUGGUGUUGCAGUCUCAGUCUGAAAGCAGAAUUUCUUCCUCCUUGGGGGACUCGGUCUUUGCUCUUAGGGCCUUAAACUGCUUAGAUGAGACCCACUAAUGUUAUAGAAGGGAAUCUGACUUGAUUCUGUCUCCUUAUUUAAAAGUCAGUAAUUUCUGGGCUGGGGAUGUGGCUCCACUGCAGCAUGCACAUGGCCCUGGGUUUGAUUCCCAGUACUACAAAAUUAAAGAAGAAAAAUGAGUAACUUCUAAAAAAUAUCUUCCCCAUAGAAACAGCCAGACUGAUGUUUGACCAACACAUUAAGCACCAUAAUUAAGCCAAAUUAACACAUAGAAUAAUCUGUACUUACACAUAUAUUUAAAAAUUUUUAUUUGUAUUGCAUAUAUAUUUCUGAAAGUUCAAAAAACGGCUAUUUUCAGAACUAUGAUAAUUCAUAAAAUGUAUUUCUUUUUUCAAUACCGGGGAUCGAACUUGGGACCUUGCGAUUGCUGGGCAGGCAGCGGCACCACUGAGCUAAAUCCCUGGACCCAUAAAAGGGAUCGAACUCAGGACCUUGUGCUUGCAAGGCAAGCGACGGAACCACUGAGCUAAAUCCCCGGCCCAGUACUGUUUCUAAGUGAGAAGAACAGGCAGCCCUGGGCCUGAUUGCUGCGCGUUCCGAUUGGCUGGCUGGCUGAGCUGGUCUCCUUCCCGGAGAUGUGUGUGCUGGGGUUCAGCACGUCUUCCCCGUUCUCUAGGGUCCCUGUUUUGCCUGAUGUGCAUGAUCAGUCACAGACUCACCUGGCCUUUCUAAGGCCUCCUAAUCUGCGACCUCUGCUCUACACCACUAGGAAGCUUCUAUUCAAAGAUGAAAUAGGGCUCAUUGGGUUGAAAACUGCGGCAAUCAACUCUCUCGGGAACUCAGUUGCUAACAAUGAAGAUAACGAUGGACAAGCAGGAGAGUUUGCCUCAUUUCAGAGACCGAGA